rnacentral:rRNA from 1 species
UACAGAGGUCCCACGCGUUGUUCGGAUUCACUGGGCGUAAAGGGCGCGUAGGCGGCCUGCUAAGUCGGACGUGAAAUCCCUCGGCUCAACCGAGGAACUGCGUCCGAUACUGGUGGGCUUGAAUCCGGGAGAGGGAUGUGGAAUUCCAGGUGUAGCGGUGAAAUGCGUAGAUAUCUGGAGGAACACCGGUGGCGAAGGCGGCAUCCUGGACCAACACUGACGCUGAGUGAGCGAAAGCCAGGGGAGCAAAC